rnacentral:rRNA from 1 species
CACGUAGGGGACGAGCGUUGUCCGGAUUCAUUGGGCGUAAAGCGCGCGUAGGCGGCUCGGAAAGUCGGUCGUGAAAUGCCGGGGCUCAACCCCGGGACUGCGUCCGAUACUUCCGGGCUGGAGGUAGGUAGGGGAGAUCGGAAUUCCUGGUGUAGCGGUGAAAUGCGCAGAUAUCAGGAGGAACACCGGUGGCGAAGGCGGCAUCCUGGACCGACACUGACGCUGAGGAGCGAAAGCCAGGGGAGCAAACGGG